rnacentral:misc_RNA from 1 species
GCAAACUUGGUCAUUUAGAGGAAGUAAAAGUCGUAACAAGGUCAUCGUAGGUGAACCUGCGGUGGGAUCAUUAAAAAGUAUUCUAUCAAGGGAGGAAGAUUUUUAUUAAUCUUUCUCCCUACUUUGUGAGAAAAUUUGGCGUGGGUUUUUAUUAUUGGUUUGCAUUGGUUAUUUUAGGCCUUUUUUCCAAUUAAUUUUGUUAAAAUUGCUGAUAAAUAGCCAGUGCGAAUUAUUAAAUGUUGGCUUUGUGGGAUCAUUAUUUUAUCAGUGAAUAAUUGGAUAUUUAUUGUUGAAAAACGAUAUAAAUUUAUAAACAACUAUCCAUGGUGGAUCACUUGGCUCUUGCAUCGAUGAAGAACGCAGC